CUGGGGUUAGGACUGGGGCAGAAGGGAGGAGAGUGGGAGGAGAGUCCUGCCUCUGCCCAGUUCUCACUGGCCCUGAAGCCCUGCCACUGUCUUUUUCUCUCUCCAUGUGGAGGAAUGUUCAUGGUGCCCAUUCAUUCUCAGAAGGCUGGCUCUGGAAAAAGCUGAGUGGGCCCUGGGAGAAAUCGCAUGUGGCAAGAAUGGCAGCUAUCCCCCACUCCAGGUUCAAGCCCCUGUGCUAUGUGUCCCUGUCAGGAUCUAGCAGAGUAAAAGUGGCCAGCCAAGAUCCCUGAGGCUCCAGCCCUUAGAUUACGCUCAAGACCAGUCAAGUUGCCAACGACCUGCUUCUGAGCCAAGCUCGUAUCCAAGAGUCGGGACAGGACACAUGAGGCUAGAGGCAUCUAACUGGGACUUGGUCUAGCAUAUCAGUCUGAGGAUGUUCUCUGCUGCCACUCCAGUGAGCUUGAGCUCCCUCUCGGACCCCAGAGCACAUGUCCUGCUGCUUACAGUUCUGGAUUCUCGGGCCAAGUUACACGCUUUAUUUAUACGCAGUGCCAUCUAGGGUCUUUUGCAUACAAGACCUGGAAUAGAUACCCAUCAGGGGACACUGAAACCUGUGGCAGAAGAGCUGGUGUGCGCUACAGUGAGAGCUCAGGCAGAGCAGGAGUAGGCUGCAGUUCUUAGACUUGCCACCAGAUGGCGCCUCAACCCUGCACCAGGCACAGAUGCUUGGGAUCCAGCAUCCAGAGCAGACAGGCUAGGAAGAAAUUGCAGAGUCCACCAGGCUGAAACUUGUGCCAAGGAAGGGACAGAGCAGGCACAAAGCAUCCACCCCGACUUGGAUCUGUGGUUUCCACGAGGAGUAGCCAUGCGAUCACGAGGUUUGAGGAUGCGCCUUUCCCUACUGCUUAGCACAGUGAGAUCCUGUCUUCAUGUCUGACCCCCCGCAAAGACCCCUGCACAAGACUCUAGUAUAUGUGUGCCCUAUGAUGUGGUGCUGUCUUGGCUCCUCAUCCCAACAUGGUGCCAGUGACAGGAAGUUGACAGGCUGCAUGCUGUCGUCUGACCAUGAGACUCCUUCAGAGCCUCCAGAUAGCAAAUCGUCUGUCCGUGCUGUGGCCCUCGCCUCCUCUCUUGCCUCUGGGGGGCUUCUCUUUAUGCGUCCCUGUUUAAAGCUGGUUCUGUUGAGCAAGGCUGGCAAGUGGAUGAAAUGUAUCCCUGAGUCUGGAGCCUGUAGCCUCUCUUCCCUCAGCCAGCAAGAGUCAUGUGAGUGUAUGUGCCAGCCCAGUACCCACCACUGCUGCGGGCCGUCUCAGCAAUCCCACAGACUUUUCUUCCAUCCGCUAAGCACCCACUUCCUCACCUCCACUCAGUCCACCGGCCCUCUCUGAGAGGGAGCACUCCACCCAGUCCACCUGUCCUCUCUGAGUGGGAGCACCCCACCCAGUCCAC
ensembl:lncRNA LOC102555338 uncharacterized LOC102555338